rnacentral:rRNA from 1 species
GACGAACGCUGGCGGCGUGCUUAACACAUGCAAGUCGAACGGAAAGGCCCAGCUUGCUGGGUACUCGAGUGGCGAACGGUGAGUAACACGUGGGUGAUCUGCCCCAAACUUCGGGAUAAGCCUGGGAAACUGGGUCUAAUACCGGAUAUGACCUGCUCCUGCAUGGGGGUUGGUGGAAAGCUUUUGCGGUUUGGGAUGGGCCCGCGGCCUAUCAGCUUGUUGGUGGGGUAAUGGCCUACCAAGGCGACGAUGGGUAGCCGACCUGAGAGGGUGUUCGGCCACACUGGGACUGAGACACGGCCCAGACUCCUACGGGAGGCAGCAGUGGGGAAUAUUGCACAAUGGGCGCAAGCCUGAUGCAGCGACGCCGCGUGAGGGAUGACGGCCUCGG